GUCAGAAUGGCUGAGUGGUUUAAGGUGCCAGACUCAAGAUGAAUCGAUCUUCUCAAGGAAUAAGGAUUCUGGUUUCCAGAUGGAGGCGUGGGUUCAAAUCCCACUUCUGACA
rnacentral:tRNA from 1 species